CUUUUCUAUGGAAGCUUGCUUCCACUGAGAAGAUAGUGGCGGACGGGUGAGUAACACGUGGGUAACCUGCCCAUAAGAGGGGGAUAACAUCCGGAAACGGGUGCUAAUACCGCAUAGUUUUCUUGAUCGCAUGAUUGAGAAAGGAAAGACGGCCUUUGUGCUGUCGCUUAUGGAUGGACCCGCGGCGUAUUAGUUAGUUGGUGAGGUAACGGCUCACCAAGACGAUGAUACGUAGCCGACCUGAGAGGGUGAUCGGCCACAUUGGGACUGAGACACGGCCCAAACUCCUACGGGAGGCAGCAGUAGGGAAUCUUCCGCAAUGGACGAAAGUCUGACGGAGCAACGCCGCGUGAGUGAAGAAGGUUUUCGGAUCGUAAAACUCUGUUGUCAGAGAAGAACAAGUCGGAGAGUAACUGCUCCGGCCUUGACGGUAUCUGACCAGAAAGCCACGGCUAACUACGUGCCAGCAGCCGCGGUAAUACGUAGGUGGCAAGCGUUGUCCGGAUUUAUUGGGCGUAAAGCGAGCGCAGGCGGUUCCUUAAGUCUGAUGUGAAAGCCCACGGCUCAACCGUGGAAGGUCAUUGGAAACUGGGGAACUUGAGUGCAGAAGAGGAGAGUGGAAUUCCAUGUGUAGCGGUGAAAUGCGUAGAUAUAU
rnacentral:rRNA from 1 species